GCCGGGGUAGCUCAGUGGCAGAGCAGCUGAUUCGUAAUCAGCAGGUCGUGGGUUCAACCCCCAUCCCCGGCU
rnacentral:tRNA from 1 species